UUGGGAGACACACACAGAGUCCCUCCUGUCGUACUCCGUGGUUUGCCUGUUCUGGUCGUUGCACGUCGAUGGCGUGUUGUAAGAUGGGCUAUGUUGAUGUGACCAUCUGCUACAAUAAUGUUACCUUCCCCAUAGGGCUGUUGUGAGGAGCUAAUUAAUUAGGCGAUCCUUGCAAGGAACUUCAACCAGUGCCUGAGAAGCUGACAAAAUGAGGAUAUGAAUUCUUGUCUCAUUUCAGGUCGCCAAAAGGAGUUCCUGACUCGCCGGCCCCUCCAGCCCUCAGCUUUGUUUUCUUUCUCACCCACCAGCACACCUUUCCUUCUCUCUCGGCUCUCCGGUGAGUUGCUAAGCUGCAAAAGGAGAUCGCGAAUUCAGUACACUGUGGCUCAGUGGGGAUAACAGCUUGA